CAGCCAGCUGAAGUAUUCAUGACGUCUUUCUUUGAUUCCUCUCCGGAACAGAAUCGAGUAUUGUUCCCACCAGCUCGCUCCCCAUUGCCUUUUCGAAUAUGUUACCUUCGAUUUCAGCUCUUCGUCGAGCGUCAGAGUUGUAGAAUCCAAGCCCGAGGUCGGUUCGUCAAGAAACAGCAGUGACGGAUUGAUUAGAAUCUCAUUGCCUAUAGAGACUCGACGCCUUUCUCCACCUGAAACUCCACGGACAAAGGAGCCACCAAUCAUUGUAUCCUGGCACCUGCAGAGGCUAUAUCGGUGAGCGCCUAAUCUAGAAGGAUGUAUAUCUUAUGCUUCCAUUAGAAAAAGCUGCAAAUCCUUACCUUUCAAGGCCCAGCUCAUAUAUGACAUCGACCGCACGCUUUUCCUUCUGCUCUUUUGUCAAUGUUUUUGGCAGUCGAAGCAAAGCUGCAUAUCUCAAUGUUUCUUUCACCGUCAAGUGGGGAAACAGAACGUCCUCCUGCAUCACGAAUCCUACCCUGAACUUAUUGUAUGGCUGAUCAUUGUACGUAAUCGAACCACCAACUGUAGACCGUAUGAGCCGUCCUCCAAGCAGAUUGAGCAAUGUUGUCUUGCCACUUCCUGAAGGUCCCAUUAAGGCCAGAACUUCACCAGGGUUUACUAAACCGGUAAUACCAUUCAAAAUCUCCUUCUCCACAUUUGUCCGCAAUCCUUUUAUGAUUACUUUAUAAGUAACAUCCGUGAACUGCAAAAUAUUUGAUCCAGACAAUAGGAUGAGUUCAGUAAAAGUUAGAGAUGGCUAUGUUUUCCUAAAGAAAUGGAAGUAGGUCCGUAAGCGUUGAUUAGCUUCUUCGAGUCUUAAACAACCUGAUUCUUUUGACGAGCAUGAACUAAAUAUUUAAAAAAAUGGGCUAAUCUAAGAUUACAAGAGGACAAUUAUCCUUUUGAAGUUUUUUAGUUAUGUUUCUGCUGCUUUUUAUGUUCUCUAAGUUAGGUGGAAAGAUGGGAUGAGUCUUGUACAUGAAUUAUCAUAUAAAAUGAAACCUCGUACAAGACUGAACCUGACCAUGCUAUAAUUUGCAUGCUAGCUUAGCCAUGUUCUAUGGGGGUUGUGCUUUUAUCUCUACAUCAAUCUUCCUGUCUUUUGCCUGUCCAAAUAGAUAGACAUAAGUUCAUUUGCUAUCAACAAAACAAACACAUACAAUUCUGAAAACAUUCUUUGUUUUUUUGUCUUUUUGUUGUUUUUUUUUUAUUAUCAAAGAUUUAGGUGGCCAUGUUUUGUGGGAGAAAUCACUGUAUUUCAAUGAUGAAAGAACACUUUAUUUACCUUGAGCUGAAUGGGCAUGGUUGGUUCUGUUUGAAAUUUGGUCUUGCCUGUUCCUGCUUCUACAUCCUCUGCUGUUAUAUUAUAUGCAUAUAGAUGUUAAACGGUUGAAUUGGGAUUUUACCCCAAGCUACUUGAUUGAUUCUUGAAAAUAUACUGAUAACUUGCAAAAUACGAAAAUUCAAACGAACACCCCCAUGUAGUUUGAUGAACUCGGACCUCUCCCUUCCGAGUUAACUCGAGCUUGAUUCACUCUAUUUAUAACCAAUUCCUUAAUUAGUGACUAACAUACACUUAGUGCCUUAAUGACAUUUUUUGGUAGCUAAUAAUGGACUGAAAGCAGUCGGGAAGAGUAAAAAAUGUCAACUAGAUAUACAGGGCAGGAGUCAAAGGUAGGUAGGGAAUUUGAGCCUAUAAAUAUGAAAUUGAAGUCUUCAAGGACUUGACUUUUCCAUUAAAUAACACAAAACAUAUCUAAAUUUGUGGGCCAUGGGUCACUCUGCUAGUUUGAUUCCAAGUUCCUACUAAUAGCCUUUUCUUUUUCAAGUUUUCGUGAGAUCUCACGUCGGUUGGAGAGGGGAACGAAAUAUUCUUUAUAAGGGUGUGAAAGCCUCUACCUAGCUGAAACGUUUUAAAAACCUUGAGGGGGAAACCCAAAGAGGACAAGAGGUAGUUUUGGACUGUUAUAAAUUGUAUCAAAGCCAGACACUGGGCGAUGUGCCAGCGAGGACACUUAACCCCAAAGGGGUGGACACCGAGCGGUGUGUCAGCGAGGACGCUGGACCCUGAAUGAGGAUGAAUUAUGAGAUCCCACAUCGAGGAAAACGAAACAUUUUUUAUAAGGGUGUGGAAAACGUACAGGGAAAAACUCCAAAUUUGUACUUACAGUACUUGAAUUCGGAGGCGGGUUAUUAACAAUAGAGCCAAAAUAUAAAACAAUAGUAAUUUAUUUUAUUCUGAGUUUAAGUAUUAUGAACAUAAAUUGGUAUGACUAGAGAGAGAGAGAGAGAGGCAGAAGGUCAGACAGACAACCACAAGAUUUGAGAGCUUUUAUUGCUACAACCAUUUUUAGUUUUGCCAUUGUAAGGGAAACCAUGACACUUUCUCUUUAUCAAACAAAAAGGGGACCAGAAAAAAAUGAGUAUAGGUUUCUAGCGAACUCUUCCGAAUGACUCAUACCCGAACGCUCUCUCAUCUUCAACUCUUUCUGCCUUAACUCAACACAUUGUGUGGACCAUAUCAAAAAAGUUGGACGAAAACACGAACAUGACAAGAAAGUAGAUGACGAUGAACACGACGACGACGAAAAAUCUUCAAAAUUAGCAAAACAUAAAUUAAGAACGACUUACGUAUAUCUUCAUCACUGAAUGGCUUAAAAUCUGCAAUUUCAUCAGGUGGCAAAGUGAAGCCAUUGAAGGAGAAUGACAAACCCAAGCUAGCACUUGAAGCUCUACUCAAAGCUGCACCACUGCCCAAAUCAUCCAAAUCCAGCUUCAGCUGUGCACUCCUGGACUUCCUGAUGUGUGUAUUUCGAGCACCGCUGCCACUGCCACGCCCUGGUGAAGGAGCUGUCAACGUCUGCCUACUCGACUUCCUCGAGAGGGUUGUGCUGCCACUCUCCCCCACCACCCCACCGUUCACCUCGCUGCUCGACGUCGGAGACUUGAAUGCUGCUGCCACCUUCUCCAAAAGUUGAUCGGAUUUCGUCCUCGCUAGAGCUAAUGAACUCGUUGUCUUCUCCAUGUCGCCUCCAACCUUCUUUCUUCCUAGUGGUGACAUAAAAACAUUGGUUUGACAUUCAUAAUUGUGGAAGAAGAUUCAUUUAGUUCAUAUUGACCAUACCUUUUUUGUGAUGUUGAAGGAGAGUGGAGAUUCAGAAGUGAAGAACUUAUAGAGAGAGAAAGAGUUGGCUCAAUCUAUUGCACCUUCAAUGGUA